rnacentral:rRNA from 1 species
GCCCGAAGCCGAUUAGCUAACCUGUUGGAAGAAGUCGUCGAAGGUGGAAUCAAUAACUGGGGUGAAGUCGUAACAAGGUAGCCGUAUCGGAAGGUGCGGCUGGAUCACCUCCUUUCUAAGGAGA